rnacentral:rRNA from 1 species
CCUACGGGUGGCAGCAGUGAGGAAUAUUGGUCAAUGGCCGAAAGGCUGAACCAGCCAAGUCGCGUGAGGGACUAAGGCCCUACGGGUUGUAAACCACUGUCGCCAGGGACGAGGGUGAAGGUACCGAGGGAGGAGGCUCCGGCUAACGAGGUGAAGGACGCCGCGGUAAUGCGUAGGGAGCGGGGGUUGUCCGGAUGUACUGGGUGUAAAGGGGGCGUAGGCGGGUCUGCAAGUUGGGUGUCAAAUCUACCGGCUCAACCGGUAGCCGCACUCCAAACUGCAGUUCUUGAGUGAAGUAGAGGUAGGCGGAAUUCGUAGUGUAGCGGUGAAAUGCGUAGAUAUUAGGAGGAAAACCAGUGGCGAAGGCGGCCUGCUGGGCUUUUACUGACGCUGAGGCUCGAAAGUGUGGGGAGCAAACAGGAUUAGAUACCCGGGUAGUC